rnacentral:rRNA from 1 species
AGACCCUUACCAGGUCUUGACUUCUUUUGUAAACCUAAGAGAUUAGGCGUUCCCUUCGGGGACGGAAUGACAGGUGGUGCAUGGUUGUCGUCAGCUCGUGUCGUGAGAUGUUGGGUUAAGUCCCGCAACGAGCGCAACCCUUAUUGUCAGUUGCCAGCAUUUAGUUGGGCACUCUGGCGAGACUGCCGGUGACAAACCGGAGGAAGGUGGGGAUGACGUCAAAUCAUCAUGCCCCUUAUGACCUGGGCUACACACGUGCUACAAUGGACGGUACAACGAGUCGCGAAACCGCGAGGUCAAGCUAAUCUCUUAAAGCCGUUCUCAGUUCGGAUUGUAGGCUGCAACUCGCCUACAUGAAGUUGGAAUCGCUAGUAAUCGUGGAUCAGCAUGCCACGGUGAAUACGUUCCCGGGUCUUGUACACACCGCCU